rnacentral:RNase_P_RNA from 1 species
GCGAUGAACCGGGCAGCCGCCGGGCGCCUGAUUUGUCACGUUUGUGAUGUCAGGACGCCGGGAGGAAAGUCCGGGCUCCGCAGGGCAUGAUGCCGGGUAACGCCCGGGACGGCAGGGCCAAAGCCCUGCUGGACAGAAAGCGCAGCAGAAAAUAUACCGCCUUCCCGCGUAUACGCGGGCGCGGGGGCCGGUUUCGCGUCCCCGCAAGGCAAGGGUGAAAUGGCGGGGUAAGAGCCCACCGCGGCGCCGGUAACGGCGCCGGCUGGCAAGCCUCAUCAGGAGCAAGGCCAAGCAGCGGGUUUAUGGCUUGGGCCGGUUUAGGCCGGUCCGGGGCAGCGGCCAAUGCCCAUUGGUUACCCGCGGGUAGGCCGCAGGACGUUGUCCGCGAGGACAGCGCGAGACAGAUGGCUGCGCCGGGCUUUGAAAGAAGCCCGGUGACAGAACCCGGCUUACAGGUUCAUCGCCUUU